UCGAGAAUCUUCGGCAAUGGGCGCAAGCCUGACCGAGCGACGCCGCGUGGGGGACGAAGGCCUUCGGGUUGUAAACCCCUGUCGAGGAGGAGGAAGGGGGCGUGCAGAGCGUCCCUUGACCGAUUCCUGGAGGAAGCACGGGCUAAGUUCGUGCCAGCAGCCGCGGUAAGACGAACCGUGCGAACGUUAUUCGGAAUCACUGGGCUUAAAGCGCGUGUAGGCGGGCCGCCACGUCGGGCGCUGAAAUCCCCCGGCUCAACCGGGGAAGGGGCACCGAUACGAGCGGCCUGGAGGGGAGUAGGGGGGCCUGGAACUUCCGGUGGAGCGGUGAAAUGCGUUGAGAUCGGAAGGAACGCCCGUGGCGAAAGCGAGGCCCUGGACUCUUUCUGACGCUGAGACGCGAAAGCCAGGGGAGCGAACGG
rnacentral:rRNA from 1 species